rnacentral:tRNA from 1 species
GCUGGAGUGGCAGAGUAGUCAAUUGCUCGUGACUGUAGAUCACGCGCCCGUUUGGGCUACGGGGGUGCAAAUCCCUCCUCCAGCA